rnacentral:rRNA from 1 species
GUCCACGCUGUAAACGAUGGGCACUAGGUGUUCGGGGUAUUGACCCCCUGAGUGCCGCAGCUAACGCAUUAAGUGCCCCGCCUGGGGACUACGGCCGCAAGGUUAAAACUCAAAGGAAUUGACGGGGCCCGCACAAGCGGUGGAGCAUGUGGUUCAAUUCGACGCAACGCGAAGAACCUUACCUGGGCUAGACAACAUCGGACAGCCUCGGAAACGGGGUCUUCCCGCAAGGGACCGGUGGUUCAGGUGCUGCAUGGCUGUCGU